rnacentral:tRNA from 2 species
GCGAGCGUAGUUCAACGGUAGAAUAGUGCUUCUUUUCUUGUCAAUUAGUAAUCACAUAAGCAGGUUCGACUCCUGCCGCUCGCA